GUCCCUGUAACGCAAUGGAUAGCGUGUUGGACUUCUAAUCCAAAGAUUGUGGGUUUGAAUCUCAAGGGGGAUG